CUCAUUUUACUUUUGUUAAUUUAUCACUUUUUCUGUGAGCUAAAAAUGAAUGAGCUCCUCCCGUUGUUCUACGGUCCUGCCUGAGCUUUUUACCAUGCGUGGUUCUGACGGGGUCGCCGGUUUAUUAGCCUUUUUGUGGUUUCUCGAACUGAAAAGCUGUCGGGUCACCCGUUGGCUGACAUCAGCAGAUGUUGAAAAAAAAGUUAGACAGAUCGGAGAGUAGCAUAAAACUACCACUACACCUGACCAGCACAAACCUAAACCACAAAAGCAGUGGACAUUUUUUUAAAUUUUAAUCAAAUGAUGCAAAAUAAUAAAGACAUGAAAGCGAAGCCUAACGGAAAGAGGAGGAUGUUGAUUUCCUGGUUCAGGUGAUGCAACAUUGUUUGCUUAAUUUCCACUUAAUUUUGGGGGAACGUUUCGUCUGAGAUGCUCAGUAGGAGCAACAGAUGUCUGCCAUCCGGUGACCCGUCAGAACCGCGCACACGGUAAAAAGCUCAGCCGGAAUCCAAACAACUGCUGUUAGGACAACGAGUGGGAUCAAACUCUGCUCAUUCAUUUCCAGCCUACAGAAAAAGCGCCAAGCUGGAAAUGAACAAAAUGAACAGAUAUAAUGUGAGCUCACUGGCUUCCAAGGAUCUACAGGAUUCAUUUUAAAAUCCUUUCUAUAACAUCCAGGAGAGGACCCCACAUGGACACACACCCACAUAUCUCAAACUUCCUCCAUGUCCACAUCAUGUCAGAUCUAGUCAUCAGAACCUGAUGGAUGUCCCACACUGUCCUGAAGACCUGUGUGGACAGAGCCUUCACUUCCACUGUCCCCAAGCUCUGGGAAACUGUCUCCACCAGCACCAGAUCUAAUGACAGUUUGGACUGUUUGAAGUCCAAGUUCAACAUCAACAUUUUAAAAUGUCUUCUAGGUGAUUUUGGUGUUACUGCUCUUCAUCUUUGUAGUUCAUCUUCCUCUUUUUAACUUCACUCAAUUUUGUUCAUAUGAUGCUCUGUUUCUCUGCUUCAAGUACAUUUAAUGUGAAAGUCUUGGUGAUUUAAUUUCUGAAUACUGCUGGAUGAAUAUUUCCUGACUUCCUAAUUGCUCCUGGUUC